AUCCAGAUGAUGAGUUCAAAGUAGGACGAAACUAGAGUCUUAGAU
rfam:Schistosoma mattheei strain Denwood, Zambia genome assembly, scaffold: SMTD_scaffold0000691